rnacentral:lncRNA from 1 species
CGGCCCCGUCGGCUCCAACAAUAGCACCUACUCCGUCAAGGUCACCGGCAUCAAGGUCGGCGGCGGCGAGGUCGCCAGCGAGGCGGCCACCGGAAUCUUGACGACCACCAUGCCGUUCACGUUCCUCAAUUCGUCUCUCUUCGACCACCUCAAGCAGGAGCUCAAGGCGGUGGCGUCACCGGUCAAUGGCUCCGUCCGAUUCGGGCAGCUGUGCUACCCGAACGGCACGAAGUUACCGGCGAUCACGCUGUUGUUCGUCGGCGAGAACGCCGGGAUGGAGCUGCAGCCGGAGCACUACUCGUACAAGAAGAGCAACGGGGUCGUGUGCCUGUCCAUCCUGCCGUCGCCGUGGUCCAACGGCUUGUCGGUCAUCGGCAGCAUGGUGCAGGCGGGCAGGCAGAUGACCUACAAACUGGACGACAACACGUUGACGUUCGACGACGCCGCGUCGGCGUCCUCCAAGCCGUCGCCGUCUACUUCUUCGUCGGUGGCCCAGGCGCCGUUGACGCCCUUCUGUCUGUCUCCUGCUUUCGCGGUGCUGCUGCUCGCCAUCAUCAUGUGAAGCUAAUUAUUAGUAAGAGGGAGACCCGGAUUGGCCAGCCGGCGACCAUGAUUCAAACCCCGCGGUGCCACUGUCACCACUAGUAAUAUUGUUGUACUGAUAUGCUUUCUACUCAGAUGUCGUUGUCGACAUUUUGUUUUAAAAUACUGCCAUGCAAAUGUCUUUUUUGAAGUAAAAAAAAGAGUCAUGCAAAUCUCAAAUAGCAGAAGUGAAAAGAUAAACGUUUUUUCUAUUCUAUCUCUUAUAUAAAUUUUAUUUUAAAAUAUCCAAAUAUACAAGUAUAUAUGGUGCAAAGGGAUUAAUUUGUAUAGUACGUAGAUCCAUUUAUCUAAUUUUUAUCCAGCUGACCAGCUCAAAGCGGCUUUCACUACUGGUCCUCUCGGACCUCUCCACCAGACCUCCACCCAACCAUCUUUUUUUUUAAGACUAAUUGAGGCCAAAAGCUAUUUCCCUGUCAAGCUGGCAACUGUUCGAGUCGGGGCGACGAGCAAGUUGCUAGCACGAGGACGACACAGGGUUCAGGGUUGGCUUGGAAAUUAGCGAGGGGGCGAGGGAUCUGCUCGCAGCCUCGCACGCGCGUCAUGGGCGCGACCCCGCAGGAACUGAACCUGGGCAAGUGUGCACGCGUUUCGACUUUGGGUCGUCUGCAUCAGAACGGCAACCGGAAGCUAUUCCAGUUUGCCCCUCGUCUGAAGAUGCUGGACGCAGAGGUAAACCGGAACAAUCUUUGACUGCUUUAUCCGGAAACCUUUAUCCGGGCUUUUUGGGGUGGCAGCAUCUCAGUCCAAUCAAAGCGUUUCGCUGUCCAUGCGUUCCUUUGUGUUUUGAUUACUUUCGCUCCGCUGCCUGUAGAGAAUUUUUAGACAUCCGCUUUCCCACGGUUCGGCAAUGCAAAGCUCGCCAAUGUUCUUGGAAGUUUGCACAGUCUAAACCCUUUUCUCGACGAAGAAGCACUGGUCCCUAUCGCGUUGAACUGGCCGGCCACGUCGCAUCCUUGGACUCGCUGAUCACACGCCACAGUCCGUGUACGCAUUGGAUCGACUGUUGGGUGAUUGGGCGGUCGCAGAGAGAAACUUUCAUCAACGCACAGCGCACAGUCGAAGAGCUCAUCUACAUCUAGAUCGCGCUCUGGUCCUGUCUGAGCAGUGCCGAACGAGCUCCGCGUAGUGCGUACGUAACAGGUGUGUGGCGAUCCUGGCCUCACGUUGACAGGACGGGCGAAAGGUCGUCGUCGGCGAGCUGAUGUGAGGGCAUGGGCGGACCAGGAAAGGGACCUCUGUGCAAGGGGCAGAAAGGAGGCGCUGUUCCUGUCGAAAGCAGCAAGCCAGCAAGCACCUCGGCGUCGCAGCUUGCGAGCAUCCGGAAACUGACGAGAUGGGCUUGCUGUGCUGGCUCUUCGUACGUGGACUCAUGUACAUGACCGGACAAUAACAUGGGUCCAGCUCGCUGUAGGUCCCAACUGAGAAAUAGGGCAACUCAAACAAGAAAAACAUCUGUUUACCAGAAGCACCAGCACUCAUUUACUUCUAGUUCGUGCCUAUUGUCCUUUUGGUCCUCUUUUUCUUGAGGAAAAUGACAUGAUUUUUUUUUUGAAAUUACGGGACUUUAGAUCAUUUCUCACAAGCUCCGUGAAAUCUGGUGCAACACGGUGAAGUGAUUAAUGUGGGGUUCACUGAUACUAUAGCUAGAAAAAAAAACAAAACACACACACACAAGCGACAUCUGUGUUAGUGGCAAGAUUUAAAAAAAAAACAGGAGAAUCUAACAAGCAACAUGGUUGAAGCGAUGAAUGAUCAUACCCUAACUUUUUUUCCCUCGAAUACCCAGAAGACGGCACAUCAUUGCAUUAAAAAGAAUAUAUAGAGCACAAAACACACACACAACACACCACUAAAGAAAACAAAAAUGACCCGUGACUUCUCCCUUUAAAGUUAAACCUCGACUAUGGCUGUGCCAACCAUGGGACCAGCCAUGACUCAAAGUUGGACCUCAUCCUUAAUAAUCUGAACGACCCUUUGCAAGCGGUGAUACCCGAUGUUUCCAAAAUAUCCGAGCCCCCAAGGAGUUCAAACCAGCCUUCAUAGAACUUGCCACUAACUUAAUAGCUCCAGACCACCGAUCAAAGAACUGCAUGAUGUAGGGGUGACAGGUCGGGGAGACCAAACAGUAUAAACAAGAGUGACCAGACUUCUCUUGAGAAGAUACAGGAGACUAUGAUGCGGUGGAUUAUCCCAUCUUCCUGGUCACAGAGCAGGCAACGCUCUGGAUGUGGUAGUUCCCAUCGUGCUAGGCAGUCAGCAGUCCAACAUUGACUAUGGGCUACUAACCAGAGGAAGAAUUGGCUGUAAUGACCAUGACUAGUAUUGAUAAUAAGUAACCAUCAUCACGCAAACUCCAAAAGCCACAUACCAAGACAUGUAUCUGUAUCCGGUAUCCGGUACAUGGUGGAUACAUCACAGAUACAUAAGUAUUGGGAAAACAAAGAUUUUAAUUGCUGACACAUAUUCGGCACUUGCUUGGUGGAUACUUCAUGGAUAAAGCCCCGCCGCCUAGCCACAACCUAAAACUUAACGACAAUAAGACUAAGGGGCUGUUUGACACCGGUAACUAACUUUAGCCCUAUCACGUUGGAUGUCGGAUGCUAAUUAGGAGGACUAAAUAUGAAUUAAUUAUAAAACUAAUUGUAUAACCCCUAGGCUAAUUCGCGAGAUGAAUCUAUUAAGUCUAAUUAAUCCAUCAUUAGCAAAUAGUUACUGUAGCACCACAUUGUCAAAUCAUGGACUAAUUAGACUUAAUAAAUUUAUCUUACGAAUUAACCUCCGUCUGUGUAAUUAGUUUUAUAAUUAGACUAUAUUUAAUACUUCUAAUUAAUAUAUGAAAGUUAGCCCCUGUCAGGCAAACAGGUCCUAGCACAGCACGUCUUGGAACUCACGUAAGCCAGACCAAACCACCGCACGCUUCCCCUUACUACUGCUGGGUGACCCCUACCGCCUCACGUAAGCCAGACCAGACCACCGCACGCUUCCCCUUACUACUGCUGGGUGACCCCUACCGCCCCGACUCAUCAGUGAGUACAUCCGGUCAUCCCCAUUUAUUAAGACAGAGAACAAGUGCAAAUUCUUCGCUUGGGCAAUGAUACAAAUUUUUUUUCCCAAAGCAGGCAUUCUAAAUGUCAAGGGAUGGCCUCAUCAGCCGCAUUGCCCACUUUGGGCCUGUUUGUUUCCACCCUCCUAAAGUUUUAGCUCCUAAAAGUUUUUAGGCACCUCCUAAAAGUAUGUUUGGUUCCACCUCCUAAAAGUGACUAAAGGCAAUUAAUGAAGUGUAAAAUACCCAAGAUGCCCUUCCUCCAUGCCCCUGCAUGCCCCUCUACCGGCGCCGCACCGCCCCUCCGCCGGCGCUAGGCUCGUCUGUUGCCGGCCCCUGCACUGCCCCUCCGCCGACUCCGCCCCCUCCCUUCAAAUCCCAGCCGCCGCGCCCCUCCCCUCCUCUUCUUCCCCGGCACCGCCGCCCCCCUCCCGUUCCUCCCUCGCCCGGAUCCGGCGACGGGGGAUCUGGCGGGGGAGCGCCCGGCCGGCCCGUGCAGCGGCGCAAGGGAGCGGGGGCGGCGGGGGUAGGGGUGCCGUGCGGCGGCGGCGGGCGGCGGGAAGGACGCCGCUGGCGGGGGCCGAACGGGGGAAGACGCCGGUGGCGGGCGGAAUGCGGGGGCCUAGGCAGGAGGGAGGGUGAGAGAGAGAGAGGAGGACAAUAAAUGAGGGCAAUGGGGUUCAGGAUGGGCUUUAGGAGGUUUUAGGAGGGGUGGAGCUCCUAAAGAAAUUGAAGCCUCCUAAAAGUUUUUAGUCACUUUUAGUCAGUGUUUGGUUCUUUAGUCACUUUUUAAUCACUUUUUAGGAGCUAACAUUUUAGGAGGGUGGAAACAAAUAGACCUUUGCCGUAGCCGUCCAGAGACCAACUUUCGCUACUAUGCCCUUUCGCCAAAGUUUGUAUGGGAAACAGUAGCCAUGGCCCGAUGGGGGCCUUUGGUGAAUUUGAGACGCUUGGCUGUUUUGGCUCAUUAAAAUGAAAGCUUUGGAAAAGAGAAAAAUGGCCUAAUCACAAGCUAAUUUUUUUAUUCAUACUAUGCUUUAGUAUUCGCAUUUCAAAAAAAUACCAAAACAUAUCUGUGUCUUGGAUAUUUCUGGAAAAUAGUGUAUCCGUGUAUCCAUAUCUUCGCUGCAUAGGAUGACAGUUUGCAUGAUAAUUUAAUGACGUCGGAUUUUAAAUAGCCCAGCUUGACUCACCUUCUGAAUAACUUGUAGAGGAUAUGGAAAGCUCCUGAUUCUUGUCCCUCUCCCCACUUGAGCUACCUAAAAUAUAAAAAAAAGGAAAGAAGAAUAAACAUAACUCAAACAAUGGAAUGCGCUAUCAAGAGCAUUAGCAGUAGAUUCUCAUACACAACCAUGUAUUUACAAUGAACCAAUUUCGACAAAACGUUAUUACUCGUGUGCGUGUAGGCACAAUUACGCGUGAAACAGAGGCCUAGUGCUUUGUUUAGGCCCUAGGCGGUAAAUUAAUAGCGCAAGCGGGCACAAGCACAGGCACACGUUCUGGAGAGGCGGGGAGAAAGAGUGCAGGAGACGUGGGGAGAAGAGUGCGGGGGCAUGGGCGAUGGAUAACCGAAAAGAGUUGCUCGGCGCACAGAAAGAAUUACGGUAAUGGCAUGGCUCGACGCGUCAGACGCUUAUCACUAAAAAUAUCUGGCACGGAUCCUACAAACACCUUCUCUCUUUCCACCUUAUCCUUUCUCUCCUACAAUUCUUCCUUAUCCUUUCAUCUAGGGAAAAAUCACCCGCACCACUCACUCUCUCUGCCGCGCAGUUCAUGCGAGCAUGGGCGCGCUGCGGGGCCGCGCCGGCAGGCAUGGGCGCGCGAGGCCAGCGACGGCAGCGGUGCGUGGUGGUGAGGCCAACGGCGGCACCUACUGGCGAUGCGGGCACAGGUUGCGGCGGCGGUCGGCAGGCGUGGGGCUGGGAAAGAAUCCAUGGUAGCUGCUAUCGUACUCUAGGAGGAGGAAGAUUCCACCGCGGCCAGGGGCGAGCCGCGCCGGCCGCCGCCAUCCUCCUCCUCCUCCACCACCGUUUCCUAGGAUCCUGGUGUGCAGUGCUUCUCGUGCCAGGGUUUGCUGCAUGUUGCAAGCGUAUGUUUCAAGUGUUUUAGAUGUUUCAGAAGAAUGUUGCAAGUGUUUCAUGUGGAUGUUGCAAAGUAGAUCUAGAUGUUGCGAUAUUGUACAUGUUUCACACACAUGUUGCAAGUGUUUUAUCUGAAUGUUGCAUUUUCAAUGAGAGAUUUAAAUGUUCCAUGCAACACGAAACAGAUGUUGCAGCGGGUUUUUUUCCUCAUCAUCAACAGAUGGCUAAUAAAUUUUUUUCAACAUAUUUUUUGAUAUUGCAAAUGGUGGUUUUAUAUGUUGCAAAUAUUUAUUUUUUAUGUUGUAGACAUUAUUUUUUGAUGUUGUGAUGGACCAACGGAGCGUCCGAUAGACAUCCGGGCACAAGCAACGCCCUCCAUCCCCUUGGUGACCCAGUGCGCCGCGCCGCCGACCCUGACGAGGCCGGCGCCGAGGCAGCAGCUCGCGCCGGGGACGGGGACGUCGCGCCACGCCGCGGCCCCCAGCGUGAACGCCUGCAGCACGUUGAAGCCCGCGGUCGCGUCGCCGCGGCACGGGAGGUGAAGGAUCUUGUACGCCCCCGUCGCCGGGUGGAACCCGAAGGUGUACCUCUUCCCGCUGCCGUAGCCGUGCAGCCCGCGGUACGAGACGGGGAGCGGCGGGACGCGCAGCGUCUCGCCGGUGGCCGGGUUCAGCAACGCGACCCUCCCGCCGGGCUUCCUGUUGUCGCACAGGCACAGCAGGCCGUUGCACGUGCCGACCGCCGUCACGUCGAUCCACCUCCCCGUGGCGGUGCCGGCGGUGACCCCCCACACCUCUCUGCCCCACCCGUGCUCGAGGUCGUUGACGACGUACGCUGAAGCUGACCUGGUGCUCGUGAAGAAGGCGAGCACCUUGGGCGGCGGGCUCCGCGGCGUCCGCUGGUCGAUGAUGUCGCGCCAGUGCCGGCAUACGAGCCGGGCCCAGCGCCGGCAGCUCGGCGGCAGGCGCAUCAGGAUCUCCACGAAGGCGUCCGUAUGGAGGCUCAAGCCCUCAUCCACUUCGCCGUCGGUAGGCGGCGCCGUCGCCAUUGGCAACGCAUGCACCUUGCAGUUUGCACGGCCUCACUUUUGUGUUUUCUCUCCCGUUUCGCUUAGCCGAGAUAUGUUAGCCGGAGCAAACUUGAGGGCCAAGGAGGCAAAUAAGGAACUCACUCCCCAAGAUCAGGGAUGCCGGGUUGCUAGGAACAAACUCUGAUUCAAGGUCAAAAUUCCAAAUUUAGAAAACGUGCGUAGCGUACGCGUUCCGUCGGUAGGAGUAUACGAUUGUUACGAUAUCAGGGAAACCGUGGGCGCCACCAAAGUGUAAGUUCUUCAGCUGGCUGGCGAUCCAGGACAGAAUAUGGACAGCGGACCUGUUGCAACAUCGGGGAUGGCCAAGCAAUCCAAAUUGUGCUCUCUGUGAAGCAACUCAAGAGACGGGGCUGCAUAUGUUCACCGAAUGCAAUUACACAAGGAAUGUUUGGACUCAACUAAGUGCGUGGACGAGGUGCCCGGCAAUAGACCCGGAAUGCUGGACUCCACAUGACGCCCUGCAUGACUGGUGGACUGCAUUAGCAGGCGCGCAGGUCGUUGACAAAAAAAGGCUUGAGAUCUCUCAUCAUCUUAGUAUUGUGGGAGGUUUGGAAAGAGCGCAAUGCGCGGGUUUUCCAUCAUCAGGAACAAUCCAUCCCCCGCUUAGUGGCCCGGAUAAGGGACGAGGCAACCACGUGGGUGGCGGCAGGUGCUAAGCACCUGGAGCGGUUUCUUGACGCCGCAAGGCGUAAUUGAGUGUAUAUAGGGGUGUCUGUUCCUUUAUUUCUCCAGCCCGCGAGGUAAGUUUGCAGUGUGCAGCAUGUAAAGUUUUCUAGUUUGUUUCGUCCUUCGGGCAUUCUCCUUUAUUAAUAAAGUGGCAGCUCUACUGCCAACUCGUUUCAAACCAGCCCGCUGGUGGACGGUUUGCUUGGGCCUAACUGGUUUCCGUUGUUUGUGGAGGGACUGGUUGAGUGGUUUAGUUGGGACGGUUCUACCGUUCGAAUGGUUUAGAAGUUUACAGCUGGGCCUGGCCGUCAGCGCCGACAGGCCGGCGCCGGCAAAGACCGAGGUCUGGGUCCUCGGGGACGGCGGAGGCGGCCGGCGGGGGUGGACCCGCCGGUACAGCGUGCGGGUGCAGGGGGUGGAGGGGCAGCUCGCGGCGCCGCACUUUGCGCACGGCGGCGAGUACGUGCUGACCGUGCAGUCGACGGAGUGGGGGCGGAAUCACUUGCACGCGCACAGGAUGCGUGACGCGGGGAGGAGGUUGCAGAGCGGCGACCGGCGAGGUGCGGUCCGUGCGGAUCAGGGAGCCAGGAACGGCGGUGGCCCACAUCAAGGACGCCUACUGCCUUCGGACGUUCGCCUACGUCGAGACCACGGAGCCGUUGAGUGUUUACACGACAGAUCACAGACGAAGGGUCCAUCGACAAAUGAAAUCGUGUCGUUGAUGUUUGCUUUAAAAAAAAAAUCUUUCCUGCGGUUUAUUCGGUGGUUCGAGACUUUGAUUUGCUGGUGGUGACAGCAGCGAAUUGUUCGAUUUUAAAUUUUAAAUUGCUCCGUUUUAAAUUUGCUGGAAGUAAAGCUUUCUGAAACCGCACGCUGAAUCAAUGUCCGUUUUGGGUUGGUGCGGUGCGCCAAUGCCGGUUUCCAAAAUAGACGUAACGCUGAUCCAUCGUCUUCCUCGCUUCUACAAAUGGUGAGCCGCUAUCCUUCGGCGAUGGCACAGCUAACGCAGGUAGCAACUGUGCAGAGCGCUGCCCUGCUGGUAGAUCGUGCACUGCUCCCAGUACCGCGGCAAUGGCGAACGGUUCGUCGACCUGCUGCCUCCUCGUCCUCGCCGUCGCGCACGCCGCGGCGGCGGCGGCGGCGGCGGCCACAACGGGCGCCCCGGCGCCAGAGGCGCCUGCGCGCGCGCGCCGGCUCUUGCCCCUCGGCUCCAGCCUGCCGCCCGCGACAGCAGAAGCCGGCGCGGCCGCGGCCGCCUGCGUGCAGUCCGUCCUGGAGGCGUCCGGGCCCUGCGCGCGCGACGUCCUCGAGACGCUCGUCUUCAAGACCGCGCGCCUCAGCACGGACUGCUGCCGGGUGCUCGCCGGGGUCGGCGAGGAGUGCGUCGCCGCGGUGUUCUCCGGCGCCUCCGUGGGCCCCCCGCUGCUUCCCGUCGUCAACCGCGUCUGCGGCUUGGUCGCCCUCGCCAGCAAUGGAUAGCUAGCUAGCUAGCGGAGUUAACAGGACUGAAGAAUGUAGUACCGCUACCACCGUAUCAACGGUCUAUGUGUGACAGAUCCAAGCAUAAUGCGUAUUUAGUUGCAUGCACUACAUGAUACAUGUAUAGAUAAUUUUGGAUGGUGCGGUUCAAACAAUUUACUUUGAAUGUGUUGGUAAAAUUUAUUCAACCGAACAAAAAAA